rnacentral:sRNA from 1 species
CCAAAGGUUUUGGAGACUGAAGUCCUCUGCUUACCCAUAGAACAGGUGUGGCCCAGGUAGCAUCCAUGUGAGCUGCCCCAGCAUGUCCUGCCAGCAUACCUCAGCCUUAAGCUGAAAUGUCUGCCUCUGGGGAUGAGGGUUGCUUAGGCCUGGUCUACACUAUGUGUUUAAACUGAAUUUAG